UACAGAGGUCUCAAGCGUUUGUUCGGAUUCAUUGGGCGUAAAGGGUGCGUAGGCGGCGCGGUAAGUCGGGGUGUGAAAUCUCGGAGCUUAACUCCGAAACUGCAUUCGAUACUGCCGUGCUUGAGGACUGGAGAGGAGACUGGAAUUUACGGUGUAGCGGUGAAAUGCGUAGAUAUCGUAAGGAAGACCAGUGGCGAAGGCGGGUCUCUGGACAGUUCCUGACGCUGAGGCACGAAGGCCAGGGGGAGCAAAACGGGG
rnacentral:rRNA from 1 species